rnacentral:rRNA from 1 species
AUGGUAGACUUUGUGAUUCUUUGUACGGGAAGGUUUAGCAAUUAUCCCAACAUACCCAAUUUCCCUCCUGGUAGAGGCCCAGAAGCAUUUGAUGGGAAAGUGAUCCACUCCAUGGACUACUCCAAAAUGGGUAGUGAGAAAGCUAAGGAGAUGAUCAAGGACAAGUGUGUGACUGUCGUUGGCUAUGGAAAUUCAGCCCUUGACAUUGCUAAUGAAUGCGCAAAAGUAAACGGUAUGGAGAAACCAUGCACAAUGGUAGUCCGAACCAAGCAAUGGAUCAUACCGAACUUCUAUGCUUGGGGUAUUAACAUAUCAAAUUUCUAUCUAACUCGUUUUGCUGAACUCCUUAUUCACAAGCCCGGUGAAGGUUUCCUCCUUAGCAUAUUAGCUACCGUCUUGACUCCAUUGAGGUUGAUGAUUUCAAAGUUUGCUGAGAGCUACUACUCCAUUCCAAUGAAGAAGCAUGACAUGGUGCCUGACCACAGCUUUUUUGAGGGGAUGGUGGGAUGUAUGCUUUCCACUACACCCAAGGAUCAUUACAAUAAUCUAGAGGAAGGCAUCAUCGUUAUUAGAAAGUCGAAGACCUUUGGCUUUUGCAAAGAAGGUGUGCUCGUUGAAGGUGAAUCUACGUUGGUAAAGAGUGACAUAGUUAUUUUCGGAACAUGA